rnacentral:lncRNA from 1 species
ACACGACGGCGGGAUCCGCCGCGCCGUCAAGAGAGACUGCUGAAAGGUGCGUGGUUGUUACCGCUGCUGUCGUUCCUACUUCCUAGUGGUCAGAUUGCGCACAGUAGCUUUUAAUUUUCCCGGAACGAGGGGCGGGGGGAGGGUUGCGCCUUCGACACGACUGAUGAUUUGCUGCCCGGCGUGUCACAUGAAGAUUCGUAGAACAGCGAUAGGAAAAAGGCAUGUGCAGUGACCCUGUCUGCAUUGCAGGAUUCAGGGAAAUUGACAGUUGUAUGCAAAGGUUAAUUUGUUAACAAAUUGGAGUGUGAGUCUGGUUAAGAAAUCUUUUUUGAAACAACAUCCCGUGACCGCGAUGCUAUUUCUAACGCGGUUGUCGUUAGCGAAAGUUCGUAUGUGUCAAACCAACCAUUUGACAUUAGCAGGGUUGGCUUCAGGUGAGGUGAAUCGUCCAUUAACUUGUGAAGCACUUCGCCUUGCUGGACGAAAGCACGCGGAAGCUUUCUACCGGCCUUGAUGGCUCGUUCUUCCCGCUGCCAAGAUCUGCAUCAUUCAGUGUGUGGAUGGGAUAACAUUCUUUUAAACCGCCGCUUACCUAAAAGGGUGCCAAGACGUAACGUUUAAGUUGACUGCUUUGCAUUACAGGAAUGCUUGCGAAGCUCGCCCAAACUUGAACACAUCAACAGCUUGGUAGUAUUAAAUGACUGACUAAUGAAUUUCUCAGCGUUUCAUUUAGAUUUAAGAUUAUCUCAAUCUCGUUUAGCAUCGUGUGCAUGUGUGUAUUGUCACCAAGCCAUUUAAAACUUCUAGAAUGCUGGAGGUUAUUUACUGUACCUUCUCGUUUGCCCGAUCAUGGGAAGUUGGUGAUGGUUGUGUACAAGAAAAGAAGUUUAACUAACACAGGGAAGAUGCAGUGGUAUCAGUACGGAACCAUUAUUUGUUGCUAGUGAUGAGACAUACUAAUGACCGCUGAAAGGUAGCUUCUACCUUCCGCAUCUAGUUUAUAUUUAUCAGAAGACUGCUAGCAGGUUGCAUACUUAGAAGAUAUGUUCACAUUGCCGUAUCCAUACUGAUCCGCGCUGUGUUUCUGGAGUUACCUGAUGAACAACGACACUGAAAUAUAUUAUAGCUGGAAGCUUCAUAUAUAAUACUUUUACUUAAUCCAACAUGAUGCUGUCAUGAAGAAGGAAAUUUUCAUUUGUGUAGGGCAAAUAUGGAAUAUCAUGAUAGGCAAGUGAACAAGUGAUCAUAAUGUUUCUUAUUUUGGUCUUAUCUACAACAGAUUAUCCAGCAGUCGGUGUUGUAAAGGCGUACAUUGUAUGUACCAAUGCAUAUCACUGCUAUAUAGUAUAAUCUUCAAUGCUUCCAGCCUCCUACAGCAUUUGCAAAUUAUCCCGCUGAUCACAAUUUUCUGUUAUUUCAUACAGCAAAGAUAAUAGAAUAAUGGUUUUAUUUUUUAACAAGUCUGGGCAUGUUGAGCUAAGUCCUGCAAAUCGAUGGAUGUAUCCUUUGUGUAAACAAGAAAAAAGUCCUCCCUCAACUGAUAAAGAACAAAAUUUAUGGUUUUGCAUGCUAAUUAGUAUUACAAUCCCUGAUCGAUCAUAGUCUCUAUGAACACACAUAUACAUAACCUCAUAUUGACUGCCGCUGUGUCUGGGAGAGGCUGCUGUAUUGACAUGUUGAAUAUUGUUGAAAUCUUUAGAUACUGUUCCAGUAAUUUGUUCGUUGUGCGUUGGCGCUCAUGAUUUUUCUUCUUCUUGAAAUAUCUGUGGCAGAUCCUCAAUAGUGUGCAGUUUACUGAUUUCGAACAAGGAAAAAACAUAUCGUACCAAAGCAGACUCUCCUCUUGAGGGUGAUACUUGCCAUGCCCUUGAUACCAGUGGUUGUCGUACUCCUUUUGAGUUUGUUCACGUUGGUGGCCUAAUAAUUGAUUGGCCAACUAAAUCACUAUUAUAUCUUCAGCUUCAUGGUUACUGUCCACUAACACGUUAUGAACGGGUUGGUUUUCCAAAGGAGCAGUCUGGCUUGUCUAGAGAGUGAGGCACAGGCUUACAACAGCAUUCACAUUCAUUUCCUAAUGAGGUAAGCCUAUCAAUGUUCUCUGUUGGUUGGAUUCGUUUGUUUUAUGCACCAUUGAUCAAUUCGAAUGUCAAAGAAGCAACAACCAUGUUCUUUCCGUGACAACUUAAUGCUCAUCUUAGUUUAACUGUGUACUACAAGAAAGCAGUAAGGUUAACAAGGGUUGGUGGAGAGUAGAGGUUCUUCAUCUAGGUUCUACAUGCCAGUAUUUAGCUGGUCACGUUUUUUAUCAUGUACAAUUUUUAUGUGAUUCUAGCACCAAGAUAGAAAAUUGUGUUGUUGGAUUAUGCUCCAAAAUCCCAGUUUCAGAUAAGAAAUGCUCAUCAUGUGAUAAUUCACCUACAUUCUUGGAUUUUUGUCAGAUUCAUUCUAGCCAGGGCUCAGUAAAAUGAUGUUGGUUUGACGGGAUACAACGGUCUACAAACCUUCUCAAAAAGCAAUGUGAUUAAUGCCUUUUGUGUCAUGUGCGCGUUUGUUGAUUGUUGUAUUGCAAAUGAAGUCAAGCCUUCCUUUGCGCUGUACUUCUCCCAAGGUUCACAUCAUUAAUCAACUUUGUACUUCUAGUAAAGGUUUGCCUUUUGUUAUGCUCGUCGGUUUGCUGCAAUAAUGCAUGGGAUUAAUUAUGUUUAUUGUGAAAUGGCUUUAUCUGAUGGAAGUGAAGUCUAAUUAUGAAACACUUAAUGUUUGAAAUUACAUGGCAGUCAUGUUUGUAACUACAUCAUUAUGAAUCUGAUUGUGUGAGAAACUGAUACAGUGAAAAUAGAUAGGAAAGUUCUUUUGUUGUCAGUGGCGAGCUUGUACCAAAAUGUGGAUUGAUUCAUAAGUAGAAAAUAAUGAUACUAAACUCUGCCCCUGUUGAUGUGCUCUUUGAAGUUGAAGAGAUCAAUCCUACGUCAUGGAUGCGUGAGAGAAAUUGACCCGCAACUACUCUCUGUGACCAAUUGAUAGAAUCACGUCAAUGCCAAACAGAGUCUCACUGAUAAAGUUAUCAAAUUAUUCAACGUCAUCACCCAAACAACGACUAAAUUAAAGUAGCCGUUUACAUCAAAGUUGUUUGUAAGAAACUUGGGCACGCAAUCGCUUGUUGUCGGCAUGCUUGCCCCACUGCCAAGAUUUGUUAGCUAAGCAUUCAUCUACUCACAGUAGACCUAACAGAGAUAUAUAAUUGCAUAAUUCCUCUUGGCUGCACACUGGGAGGUUUGAAAUACAAGUACCUGGAUUUCUUGUAGAUAAGAGCAUUCCACAAGAGUAGCUUUCAUGGUCAUAGAAAAUAGAUACUGAACUUCCAUCCUACCCGUAUGCACUGUGCAUUGUUUAUGUCCUUUCACUUUCAUUUUAAUCAUUCAAGGAAAACAUGAAAUCUUUUUUUUCGACAUCUGCAAGGUUGAUAUUGCUUACUCAAUAUGGAUAUUUAUAGCAGCAUAACUGGAUAAGUGAUGUAUAUGCCUUGUGUGGCACUCGUAGCAAUAUGCAGUCCAGUAAUGCUGGGGGGCAUAAAUCAAUUUAUAUUUUGUUAUUCAAUGGUACAUCAACCUACGGACAUCAAUGGAUAUUUUGUGGCAUACAUAAACCUACGGACAAUAAUGGAUGUGUUUGUGGAAUUAUAGGUGGUAGAUAUCUUUGUUGACUUGGAGAUUAGACGGGAAGGAAGAGAAGACUAAAGAAAAUACUUAGAUUUAUGCCUUGGGUAUCUCUCAUUUAAAGCUGUAGACAGAAACGGAAUGUUAUGUCUUCAGAACCUAGAUGUUUGGAUCUUAUCUGCUGCUACUAAGUGUCUUUUUCAGCUCAUGUGUUAUCUAAUAAGCAUGGAGCCUUUUUAUUAGACUGAAUUAGCUUGCAUGCUAGUUAUGGAUAAGCAGAUCCUUUGGCAUAGAGUCAUGAAUCGAAUCUAUAAACGAUAAUAUUUUUUAUUUCACUUAGAAUAUGCUAUCUUUUACUAUGUUCAUUUGAUCAAAAGCGUCAUCUUGUACAAUUCAACUUUUAUCCCAAAAGCAUCAUGCAACAUUUCUUUUGUCAAAGUUGGAGAAAAGUUGGGCAUCCAUCAGCAUUUUCUUGAUUCUCGCGAACAUUUUUUCUUAUUCACUACAUAAGUUAUGAGAUUAAGAGUUGAUUGGCUCACUGCUUUGUUUGAAAUUAUAAUUGACUGCAUUUUUGGAUGACUUGUUAUUUUUCCAACAGGGAACAGUUCGAUCCAAAAGUUUUCACAGAUGCAAAUUCCUUGAUGCCAUAGACAUUGGAUGCAGAUGAGCAUUCUAUCUCUCUCAGUCUUGACAUAGAUUCUGCAGUUGUAGCAAGAAAUCUCUGUUUGCUUGCUGGUUGGUCCACUUUUUAGGUGUUCUUAGGUAGGAAAAACAAGCCACAGUAUGGAUUUGUGAUAUUUUUUAGACAACAGGUCAACAGCAACAAUAGCGUCGUCGCUGUCUGUUAAGGAACAAUCCCAAGAGGCGCACUGCAAACAAGGAUACAGUUCAGGUCUCUUGUUCUUUCUUUUCCCCCACUCCAUCCCCGCUGCAUUCAUUCCUAGACAAAGCUUAACCCUUCAUGUGUUCCUUUCAUCUUUUGGGCAGGAAAAACAUCUCUGCACCAACCAGGAGAAUAUCAGUGGGAGCAGUGUCCAGAAAGGCGGCCGCUUAUGGCUCGGCGGCAUAUAGGCUCCAGACGACGCGCUCUCAUCUCGCUCACUGGUCGUUGGUCGAUUUAUCCUGCAUAAUCGGUGAUUUGGCGCUUGUCUGCGGUGUCACAACUGUCGAGCGCCUUACUGAACACUGAGUGCAGUGAGUGAGAAGUUAUGUUCUCAAAUGUCUGGUGCAGAGACCAGAGUGUCUCCAUCUACGGGCUUGCUUUUCUUCCAUGUGCCAGAGAUUCCUUAUGUACUUGGCACAUUUUUGUUAGUGUUCUAGUGUGUUCUGUCACCUGUUUUACCUCUGUCAGAUAUAUAAAUUGUAUCUAUGCAGAAAUGUGAAUUGAUCAAAUGAAGCUUUAUUUUUCGAGAGAGGAAAUGAUAAAUGGAGCUUAAAUUUACUUUGUAGUGUAGUCAAUCAAGCUUAAAUUUACUCCUUUUUUU